rnacentral:rRNA from 1 species
AACGAACGCUGGCGGCAUGCCUAACACAUGCAAGUCGAACGAGACCUUCGGGUCUAGUGGCGCACGGGUGCGUAACGCGUGGGAACCUGCCUUUAGGUUCGGAAUAACUCAGAGAAAUUUGAGCUAAUACCGGAUGAUGUCUUCGGACCAAAGAUUUAUCGCCUUUAGAUGGGCCCGCGUUGGAUUAGCUAGUUGGUGGGGUAAAGGCCUACCAAGGCGACGAUCCAUAGCUGGUCUGAGAGGAUGAUCAGCCACACUGGGACUGAGACACGGCCCAGACUCCUACGGGAGGCAGCAGUGGGGAAUAUUGGACAAUGGGCGAAAGCCUGAUCCAGCAAUGCCGCGUGAGUGAUGAAGGCCUUAGGGUUGUAAAGCUCUUUUACUCGAGAUGAUAAUGACAGUAUCGGGAGAAUAAGCUCCGGCUAACUCCGUG